rnacentral:lncRNA from 1 species
GUCUUGGCUUGCUGUUAUAAUUCCUUGAGCAUUUCCUGUGCAAAUCAGGUGAUAUCAGGAACCAAAUCACUUUCAUGUAGGCUUUGAGAAGUUUUGUGCACUUAAUGAUAAUUCUUUCUGUCUUUUUCCUUCUUAGCCUUCACUGUGCAUAAAUAAGGCCCUUAAAUGAAGUUUACAAUACGGUGGUGAAUGAAGAUAAAAAAGCAGAUGCUGACAUUAAGAGCAAAGGGUGUUAUGCCUUUGUCUACUUUCCUCCCACACAUUCCCCUCCUCCCACUCCAGUUUUCAAGGUAUUUUCUUUUUUGUGUGGGGGUUUUGGUUUUUUUUUUUUGUUUUUUGUUUUUUGUUUUUUGUUUUUUUUUUUUUUUUCAUGUGCUUUCAACAAUUAUUUUGAAGGUCUGUUGGUUUAAAAUAAAAUGUAACUGUUUCCUGAGUACUU